rnacentral:rRNA from 1 species
AGUCGAGCGGUAACNGGUGUAGCANUACNUGCUGACGAGCGGCGAACGGGUGAGUAAUGCUUUGGAAUCUUCCCAGUAGUGGGGAAUAACCAGUCGAAAGAUUGGCUAAUACCGCAUACGUCUGUAAAGGGAAAGCGGGGGCUCGUAAGACCUCGCGCUAUUGGAUGAGCCAAAGUCGGAUUAGCUAGUUGGUGGGGUAAUGGCCUACCAAGGCGACAAUCCGUAGCUGGUCUGAGAGGACGACCAGCCACACCGGAACUGAGACACGGUCCGGACUCCUACGGGAGGCAGCAGUGGGGAAUAUUGGACAAUGGGGGAAACCCUGAUCCAGCGACGCCGCGUGUGUGAAGAAGGCCUGCGGGUUGUAAAGCACUUUUAGUGGGGACAAAAAGCUACGGAUUAAUACUCUGUGGUCUUGAUUUAACCCAAAGAAAAAGCACCGGCUAACUCUGUGCCAGCAGCCGCGGUAAUACAGAGGGUGCGAGCGUUAAUCGGAAUUACUGGGCGUAAAGCGCGCGUAGACGGUUCUGUAAGUCAGAUGUGAAAUCCUUGGGCUCAACCUGGGAACUGCAUUUGAGACUGCAUGGCUAGAGUAUCGAAGAGGGAAGUGGAAUUUCCGGUGUAGCGGUGAAAUGCGUAGAUAUCGGAAGGAACACCAGUGGCGAAAGCGACUUCCUGGUCGAAUACUGACGUUCAUGUGCGAAAG